UUAGGGUGAUUCUCUGUUUAGUUGUAGAAGCCUCUGACUCAUUGCAAGCCAAACGACGUCGGAGCUGGGGUACGGCAACGAGUGACGCUCACCGGCCUCAUGGAGUUAAUGAAUGAAGCCUUUUGAGUAAAGGGUGUUCGAUAAGAGCUUUACCACUACUCCAAACACACCGGUCGAAGGGAACGCUUGUUAUUAUUUUAAUCCCACUUAGAAGAAAGGAGAAGAUCAAAUUGAAGACAAAGGAAAAGGAGUAGCCAAGAAGUAAAGAGAAGAAAAUACUCCAUUCAAGCCUUGGUUGGAAAAUCUAGUUUUGACAAGCUAGGACAGUCAUUGACGGGGGCUCAUCUCAUCACAUCUUCUAGCUUGAAAGAGAAAAUCUGAAGAUGUCAAAUAGAUCCCGUGAAGCCAUUGAUGAUGAAGUAGAAAGUAGGGCUUCAAACAUUAAUAGGGAUGGAAAUCGUCGAAUGCCCCUAGUACAUAAUGAGCUUGAUGAGCCCGUAAAUUUAAGGUCAGAUAGGAAAGAAAGAUCCGAACCAGAACAAGACUCUGAUAGAAGAAUGAGAACUGAACCGAAACAAGUACCACCUAGAGAAGAAAUACUGGCUUUUGAAGCAUUCUUUCAGACAUUAAAUCAGUUACUACAACAAUUUAUGAGGACUGCUAAUGUACCUCCAGUUCCACCUCCACUCCCUGUUACUGUACCUCAAUCGCAACCAUCUGUUUCUAGUCAGAGACCCUGUCUGAUAAAAAUAAGAAAAUAUGGAGCUAAAGAAUUCAGAGGAAAGAAAGAAGAUGAUCCGACUGAAACUGAGUAUUGGUUGGAGAAUAGUCAGAGAGUGUUUGAAGAACUUAGUGUACAGAAGAGGAUAAAUUGAAAUAUGUGGUUUCCUUAUUAAAAAGAUGAUGCCUAUCUCUAUUAGAAGCUUCAAUCCUGCUGAGAAGAUUAACUGGAAUUUCUUUCUAACAAAAUUAAGAAGAAAUAUGUGGGCCAACUGUACUUGGAGAAAAAGAAGAGGGAGUUUCUUGAUCUUAAACAAAACAAUCUAACAGUUAUUGAAUAUGAAAGGGAGUUCGUCAGAUUGAGUAGAUACCCGAACGAAUUGAUUGCGACGGAAGCAGAAAUGUGCCGAAGAUUUGAAUGGGGAUUGAAUGAAGAUAUUUUUGCUUUGGUAAUAGCCUUGAAUAUACAUGAUUUCUCUAUUUUGGUUGAAACGGGUCAACGAAUUGAAGAAGGGUUGAAUCGCCAAAAAGAAAAGAGUUUCGGAAAAAGAACUGCAGUUAGCUCCAUGCCAUCGUUGGAGGUUCGAGGUAUUCAACAUCUACUGUGGGACCAAGGAUAAAAGGUCAAACAAGUCCGAUACAACAGACAACUUUAGUGGCUAGCACUGGAGGCUUCAGAAGAAGACCAGUGCCACCAUGUGAGCAUUGUGUCAAAUCUCACCUAGGGGAAUGUCGAUUGAUUUCCCGAGCUUGUUUCAGGUGUGGGUCCAAAGACCAUAUGAUUAGAGAUUAUCCAAAGAUGUCGGUCAGGGGUGGUCUAAUUUAGCAAAGGGGCCGGCGAUUAGGGGUUAUCAGUGGAAUGGGUAAUGGACAGAGAUCAACAAAAGAGACAGUCAGCAGACCAGAGGGCCGAGCACCUCGAACAUAUGCCAUCAGAACCUGAGAGGAGGGAAAUACACCUGAUGUAAUAACUGGUAAAAGCUAGUUUUGACAAGCUAGGACAAUGAUUGGCUGUGGCUCAUCUCAUCACAUCUUCUAGCUUGAAAGAGAGUAAGGUUUGAUAUUUUGGUUUUAGAUAUGACAUGUACAUAGUUAUGGUCGGUUCAAAUGAAAUGUAUUAUCAGACUUAGUUGUAAAUUAUGAAUACUUAUGCUAGUAUUAUAAACUUUGCUAUAAUUAGAAGAUAUCAUGAUGAGUUAUUUGAUUAUUGCGUUAGAA